AAGCCUCAGCUAAAGAAGAGGCGCGGUGGUGGCAAUAAUUCGAUCCGUGCUCAUGGACCGAGUCCACGCACCCAUCGUCUUCCCCGCGGAGGAGAGAGAGAGAGCCGCUGCAGCAAAAGUUAGAGUAAGCCGUAGUGGUUGGUGCAGGUCGCUAAGAGAGAGAAGAAAAAGAUAGGGAUAGCUAGAGAGAGAAGGCUCUGAGCUUGAGAGAGAGAGGAGAGAUGGAGAAGGAGAGACGCAAGAGGAGAUAGGAAUUAAACAAACAAAAGCGGCCGUGGAAAAAGAGGGGAGAGAGGAGGAAGAAGGGGGGAGAGAGAAAGGGGGCAACUUGACCCAGUGGGAGGAGGAGGGCAAGAAGCGG
rnacentral:lncRNA from 1 species